ACUCAAAGGAAUUGACGGGACCCCGCACAAGUAGCGGAGCAUGUGGUUUAAUUCGAAGCAACGCGAAGAACCUUACCAGGUCUUGACAUCCUCUGACAGCGUUAGAGAUAGCGAAUUCCUUUCGGGGACAGAGAGACAGGUGGUGCAUGGUUGUCGUCAGCUCGUGUCGUGAGAUGUUGGGUUAAGUCCCGCAACGAGCGCAACCCUUGUGUUUAGUUGCCAGCAUGAAAGAUGGGCACUCUAGACAGACCGCCGUAGAUAAUACGGAGGAAGGUGGGGAUGACGUCAAAUCAUCAUGCCCCUUAUGACCUGGGCUACACACGUGCUACAAUGGGAUGAACAGAGGGUAGCGAAGUAGUGAUACGGAGCCAAUCUCAAAAAACAUCUCCCAGUUCGGAUUGCAGGCUGCAACUCGCCUGCAUGAAGUAGGAGUUACUAGUAAUCGCAAAUCAGAAUGUUGCGGUGAAUGCGUUCCCGGGGUUUGCACACACCGCCCGU
rnacentral:rRNA from 1 species